UGGGGAAUAUUGCACAAUGGGCGAAAGCCUGAUGCAGCAACGCCGCGUGAGUGAUGAAGGCCUUCGGGUUGUAAAGCUCUGUCUUUUGGGACGAUAAUGACGGUACCAAAGGAGGAAGCCACGGCUAACUACGUGCCAGCAGCCGCGGUAAUACGUAGGUGGCAAGCGUUGUCCGGAUUUACUGGGCGUAAAGGAUGCGUAGGCGGAUUUUUAAGUGAGAUGUGAAAUACCCGGGCUUAACUUGGGUGCUGCAUUUCAAACUGGGAAUCUAGAGUGCGGGAGAGGAGAAUGGAAUUCCUAGUGUAGCGGUGAAAGUGCGUAGAGAUUAGGAAGAACACCAGUGGCGAAGGCGAUUCUCUGGACCGUAACUGACGCUGAGGCAUGAAAGCGUGGGUAGCAAACAGGAUUAGAUACCCUGGUAGUCCACGCCGUAAACGAUGAGUACUAGGUGUAGGAGGUAUCGACCCCUUCUGUGCCGCAGUUAACACAAUCAAGUACUCCGCCUGGGAAGUACGAUCGCAAGAUUAAAACUCAAAUGAAUUGACGGGGUCAUAGCUGUUUUCC
rnacentral:rRNA from 1 species